rnacentral:rRNA from 1 species
GUGUCAGCCGCCGCGGUAAGACGUAGGAUGCAAGCGUUGUCCGGAUUUAUUGGGCGUAAAGAGUUCGUAGGUGGUUUGUUAAGUCUGAUGUAAAAGACCGGGGCUCAACUUCGGGACUGCAUUGGAUACUGGCAGACUUGAGUGUGGUAGAGGCAAUCGGAAUUCCAGGUGUAGCGGUGAAAUGCGUAGAUAUCUGGAAGAACACCGGUGGCGCAAGCGGAUUGCUGGGCCAUAACUGACACUGAGGAACGAAAGCUAGGGGAGCGAAUGGGAUUAGAUACCCCCGUAGUCC